rnacentral:rRNA from 1 species
GACGUAGGGCGCGAGCGUUGUCCGGAUUUAUUGGGCGUAAAGAGCUCGUAGGCGGUUCAUUGCGUCAAUCGUGAAAUCCUGUGGCUCAACUACAGGCUUGCGGUUGAUACGGGUGGGCUGGAGUUCGGUAGGGGAGACUGGAAUUCCUGGUGUAGCGGUGAAAUGCGCAGAUAUCAGGAAGAACACCCGUGGCGAAGGCGGCUCUCUGGGACGGUACUGACGCUGAGACGCGAAAGCGUGGGGAGCAAACAGG